rnacentral:lncRNA from 1 species
CUGCGCGUCCACAUCCUCAUCACCACCCCGCCCUACCGCGCCGACGACACCGCCUCAUACAUCACCUCCGUUUCCGCCACCAUCCCUUCCCUCAUCUUCCACCACCUCCCCACCAUCUCUCUCCCUCCCUCCCUCGCCUCCUCCCCCAACCACGAAACCCUAACCUUCGAAGUCCUACGCCUCAACAACCCUAACGUCCACCAAGCCCUCCUCUCCAUCUCCCAGAACUUCUCCAUCAAAGCUUUUGUCAUGGACUUCUUCUGCGCUCUCGGGCUCUCCGUUGCCACCGAGCUGAGCAUCCCCAGCUACUUCUUCUACACGUCCGGCGCCGCCACCCUCGCCGGCUUCCUUUGCUUCCCCACCAUUCACAACAAUACCGACAAAAGCCUCAAAGACCUAAAUACCCUUAUCAACAUUCCAGGAGUCCCGCCGAUUCCUUCCUCCGAUAUGGCGAAACCGAUUCUUGAACGAAACGACAAGGCGUACGAACAUUUCCUAGAAAGCUCAAAGCAGUUCCCCAAAUCCGCUGGGGUUAUCGUAAACACGUUCGAAUCUCUCGAACCUAGAGCUCUCAAAGCAAUAUCGGACGGUCUGUGCUUG